UAAGCAUAUCAAUAAGCGGAGGAAAAGAAACCAACAGGGAUUGCCUCAGUAACGGCGAGUGAAGCGGCAACAGCUCAAAUUUGAAAUCUGGCCCCCCCGCGGGGGUCCGAGUUGUAGUUUGCAGAGGAUGCUUUGGGCGAGGCGCCUUCCGAGUGCCCUGGAACGGGACGCCGCAGAGGGUGAGAGCCCCCUACGGUCGGCCGCCGAGCCCGUGUAAAGCUCCCUCGACGAGUCGAGUAGUUUGGGAAUGCUGCUCCAAACGGGAGGUACACCCCUUCUAAAGCUAAAUACCCGCCAGAGACCGAUAGCGCACAAGUAGAGUGAUCGAAAGAUGAAAAGCACUUUGAAAAGAGAGUCAAACAGCACGUGAAAUUGUUGAAAGGGAAGCGCUCGUGGCCAGACUCGGGCCCGGCGGCUCAGCCGUCCCUCGCGGGCGGCGCACUCUGCCGGGCCUGGGCCAGCAUCAGCUCGCGGCGGGGGAGAAAGGCGGCGGGAACGUGGCUCUUCGGAGUGUUAUAGCCCGCCGCCAUGCCCCGCCGCGGGCUGAGGUUCGCGCCCCGCAAGGAUGCUGGCGUAAUGGCCACCAGCGACCCGUCUUGAA
rnacentral:rRNA from 1 species